UACGUAGGGGGCAAGCGUUGUCCGGAAUCAUUGGGCGUAAAGCGCGUGUAGGCGGCUUGGUAAGUCCGCUCUGAAAGCCCGGGGCUCAACCCCGGGAGGCGGGUGGAUACUGUCAAGCUCGAGUCCGGAAGAGGCGAGUGGAAUUCCUGGUGUAGCGGUGAAAUGCGCAGAUAUCAGGAGGAACACCCGUAGCGAAGGCGGCUCUCUGGGACGGUACUGACGCUGAGACGCGAAAGCGUGGGGAGCGAACAGG
rnacentral:rRNA from 1 species